rnacentral:tRNA from 1 species
GGCAGGGAGCAGAGUUAAAAUACGCUCACGCCUGGAGAGCCUGUGGCCCGUAAGGGCCGCGUGGGUUCAAAUCCCACCCCCGGCGCCA